ACUACUGCAAAUUUUUACAACUUACAUGUGCUGUAUUCCUAUUAGGUUUCAGUUGCAUGUGUGUGAAAUCUCAUGUGUCUUCAGUGUCUGAUGUGUCUAACCAUUUCUUAAUGUUCACAUCUAAACUUUUCUCCCUGUUUGGAUUCUCGUGUGUUUUCUCAUGUGUCUGUUUAGGGUUGACUUACACCUAAAUUUAUGCCCACAAAGAUCACAAGCAAAUGGUUUCUCUCCUGUGUGGAUCCUAAUGUGUGUGAUUAGGUCUGUCUUUUGACUACAUCUUUGUUCACAAAGAUCACAAGCAAAUGGUUUUUCUCCUGCGUGUGUAACCCAGGGUAAAAACUGCCCUUAGUCCCGCCUUUGCUGCUCCAUUGGUUAGAGUGACAGUCAGUCACACAGUGCAUUCAGCCAAUUAACGCACCUGAGGUAUUAUUUGGGCCUGCUCCAGCUUUCCCAGUCAGGUGUGAGGGGGAGAGCUGGAGACAAAGGAGCUACAGAUCUGAACAUCCAGUGAGCUUGGAGCCAUGAAGCUGUCAUGCACUGAACUAUAAAUGGAAUUGGCCAGGUGACCCUUUUUAGGGUUAAAGGAUGGCGAGCUUCUGAGAACUGGCUGGGGC